AUUCUUUGUAUUUCAUACACGUGAUGAUCAGUGUUCACCCUCAUGAGUGAGAUGUGCCACCCUUGGACCUUGUUACAACAUCAGCACAUUACCCCUUUACAUGACU
ensembl:snoRNA